UACGUAGGGAGCAAGCGUUGUUCGGAUUUACUGGGCGUAAAGGGCGCGUAGGCGGCAUAUUAAGUCAUCUGUGAAAUCUCCGAGCUUAACUCGGAACUGUCAGCUGAUACUGAUGUGCUAGAGUGCGGAAGGGGCAAUCGGAAUUCUUGGUGUAGCGGUGAAAUGCGUAGAUAUCAAGAGGAACACCUGAGGUGAAGACGGGUUGCUGGGCCGGUACUGACGCUGAGGCACGAAAGCGUGGGGAGCAAACAGG
rnacentral:rRNA from 1 species